GACAGAGGAUGCAAGCGUUAUCCGGAAUUAUUGGGCGUAAAGCGCGCGCAGGUGGUUCCUUAAGUCUGAUGUGAAAGCCCCCGGCUCAACCGGGGAGGGUGGCUGCAAACUGGGCUUCUAGAGGGGGAUAGAGGAAAGUGGAAUUCCGGGUGUAGCGGUGAAAUGCGUAGAGAUCCGGAGGAACACCAGUGGCGAAGGCAGCAAACUGGGCAUUAUCUGACGCUGAGGCGCGAAAGCGUGGGUAGCAAACAGG
rnacentral:rRNA from 1 species